ensembl:lncRNA
AGUAUGAAGCUGGUUUUGCAACCUAAGAGGCCAAAGCUGGUGCAGGGGUGCUAUAGAAGGAUGUUGGAAGCUAGGAGAGAACUAAGCUAGGCAUCAAGGGAAGAGCUAAGGACAUUAUGAUCUUUUAAAAAUUUUAAAGGACAAAAAGCAAAGAUGAAAUCAAGGUUAUGUAGCUGGAAAAACACAGAAGCAAACAGAAGGAGAGAAGGAGCCUGGCAGACGAGCUCCAGUGAAAAUGUCCAAAAAUAUAGUGGACUGAAAUGGAAUCUUCAAUAAUGACAUAAAUGAGGAUUGAGAGCCUGUGGUAUUCAUGUGGGCAUUCCGGAGAGCUGCAGCAAACUUAAGACGGAAACCCAGACAGCUGAAGAGGAAAGGGAUAAGGCACAGAGUUACUGGAUAGAGAUCAGCCCAGAGACCUCCACCAGUCAGGCCUUACAAAGGAUGACUACUCGCCUGGAGCUGCAAUUAUUCAUCCUUCAUAAACAGAGAUCGCUUCUCAGAAUUGUUAACAUUGCUUCUGUUAGUCUUUAAACAAAGCGGUCUGUUUAUAAGUUAGGAACAUUAAAAAAAAAAGUCAUCCACCUUGUAUUGUUUAAAAAAAAAAAAAAAAAGAAGUCUGCACACACUCGAUACCAAACUGAAAAGGAAUGGAGAGGAGAUGGAGGCAUAGCCUGAGACCCACAUGGGUUUUUAACUGGCUAAGUUCAAUUUUCUCUUUC